rnacentral:rRNA from 1 species
GACGAACGCUGGCGGCGUGCUUAACACAUGCAAGUCGAGCGGUAAGGCCCCUUCGGGGGUACACGAGCGGCGAACGGGUGAGUAACACGUGAGCAAUCUGCCCAUCACAUCGGGAUAACUCCGGGAAACCGAAGCUAAUACCGAAUACGACCACCUCCGGCAUCGGAUGGUGGUGGAAAGUUCCGGCGGUGAUGGAUGAGCUCGCGGCCUAUCAGCUUGUUGGUGGGGUAACGGCCCACCAAGGCUUCGACGGGUAGCCGGCCUGAGAGGGUGACCGGCCACACUGGGACUGAGGCACGGCCCAGACUCCUACGGGAGGCAGCAGUGGGGAAUAUUGGACAAUGGGCGAAAGCCUGAUCCAGCAACGCCGCGUGAGGGAUGACGGCCUUCGGGUUGUAAACCUCUUUCAGCAGGGACGAAGCGCAAGUGACGGUACCUGCAGAAGAAGCACCGGCCAACUACGUG